UGAUACUGACUCGACUCAGGCUUUGUCUUCCAUUUUGAGCCUGUGGACAAAACAAAAGGAAUAAAAAGGUUCACGUCGUCAUCAUAGUGUGGCUUAUACAGUGGCUUAUGUUUGAUGCUUUUGUGUUUUACAGGCGGCUGUUGUUAAAGAUGAGUCAAAAGCUGUAUGUGUGAGGAAUCAUGGGAUAUGAAACCGAUUAGGAGGCAAAAAAAACAACUGACAAAGAUUUUCUGCAACAGUGGAAAAAACUGGCAUCAAAAGUUGAACAUGCGUGAGAUGAAUGGAUGGCAUGGACGCGCACAGAACUUACCGCUGCUGCCGUCUGUGCCAGUCUUGGGGAGACCCUGCAGGCCUGGAGGGAGCGAGUGCUGCAGCAGGUGCAUGUGGAAGUCGUUCUCGCUCUGAACGGCCUUCUGUAUGCGCAGCUUGAAGAUGUUGGUGAAGUAGCAGGUGGCGUCAAAGCCCAGGUAUACGACAGGAUAUCCAAUGCUAGAGGUGAGCGCAGAAGGACAAACGACGACGGAAGUAUUCAAAUGGCUGACAGACCUCUGUCAUUAACGGCUACUCUGUUAAAUUAAAUGAUGCUGUGAUCGCUCAAUUUCA